rnacentral:rRNA from 1 species
GAUGAACGCUGGCGGCGUGCUUAACACAUGCAAGUCGAACGAGAAGUGAAGACGGAAACCUUCGGGCGGAAGGCUUUAUUUCGAGUGGCGGACGGGUGAGUAACGCGUGGGUAACCUGCCUCAUACAAGGGGAUAACAGUUGGAAACGACUGUUAAUACCGCAUAAGACCACAGCACCGCAUGGUGCGGGGGUAAAAACUCCGGUGGUAUGAGAUGGACCCGCGUUCGAUUAGCCAGUUGGCGGGGUAACGGCCCACCAAAGCGACGAUCGAUAGCCGAUCUGAGAGGAUGACCGGCCACAUUGGGACUGAGACACGGCCCAAACUCCUACGGGAGGCAGCAGUGGGGAAUAUUGCACAAUGGGGGAAACCCUGAUGCAGCGACGCCGCGUGAGUGAAGAAGUAUUUCGGUAUGUAAAGCUCUAUCAGCAGGGAAGAAAAUGACGGUACCUGAGGAAGAAGCCCCGGCUAACUACGUG